rnacentral:tRNA from 1 species
GGGGCUAUAGCUCAGCUGGCUAGAGUACUUGCCUGGCAGGCAAGGGGUCAGGGGUUCGAAUCCCCUUAGCUCCACAA